CAGUGCGGAUUGUGUUUAGAAGGCCACAAAUUGGGUCUACACCCUAGUUCCUACGGAAGUGAAACGAGACUGAUCUUUCAUAAAAACUCGAUGGUCCCAUGAUCUUUAACAGAAUCGCUGCAAACAUAAAUUGUUCAUGCACACUAUAUAGGUACAGCCCGAGUCUCAUUUAGAGGUGGCUAUAGGCCUGAAGCCUCGUCCAUAAAUUAUUUUAAUAUAAUAUGAAAAAUAAAAAAAAACCUUACCCAGGUAAUGGAUAUCUAUUACCUGUACAGUACAGGUAACAGAUAUCUAUUAUCUUGGGUCAGAUUUUUUUUUUUUUACAUGGUUAUAAUAAUUUGGGGAGGGGCUUCAGCCCCAUAGCCCCCCCCCCCCAUGGCUACGUGCCUGAGUUCCGACUAACCUCAUCGAGUGCAACCUGAGUCCCGGUACGUGACGAUUCGAUGGAGGACAUCGUGGCGACGUAGACUGUUCCCAGCUGACCUCAGCAGUUUAACAGAAUAGUUAGGUUGUUAGAUGGUCGUAAGUAGAACAGGCAGGCAGUUCUUAGUUGACUCUAAAAGUGAUCGGUUGGUAGUUCUAGUUUGAUCUGUAGUUCUAAUUUGAUGAAGUGAAUACAAGUGUUCAAGUGAACAAAACGUUUUUUAAAAAUUCCCUGAUGACAAUCAGUACAUAAGUGAAUAUCGAUCUGAAAGCUUAUUUUGUCGAAUGUAACAAACCUGAUAACAAAAAUAGGAAGCAUUUUUUGACCAAACAAGAUUUAGAACAAUGCUUUGGACGAAUAAAGCGUCAAAUGCAGGCGGGUGUUAUAAAGCGCGUAAUGUCAGAGGCAGAACAAAGAAGGACAUCGUAAGACAAAUUGUAAAUUGUUAAACAUUGUUCAGAAACUGCCAGGAUAAGACUAGCACAAUAGUUCGACAGAUUAGUGAUACAAAAUUUGUUGAAGAGCUUCGGGAAACAUUCAAAACCCAGCAACAUAUUUUACUUGUUGCGGACCCCGGUAUGGGAGAAACUAGAUUACUGCAUUUUGUAGCGUUUGAAGUUCAAAAACAAAACCAAUCUGAUGUAUUUAAGAACGCUAUGUAAUGAACUAAACAACAUAGAAGAAGUAUCUGUAGUGGCAACCCUACUUGCGUGGGGUAAAAGGCGGUAAAACCAAAGUUACCGUUUUGGCUUUGGAGAGAGUUGACAGUUAAACUCAGUUACGAUAUUGUCAUCGGAAAAAGCAAGAAAACAAGCAGCGCAAAUUUUAGUGCUUUGAAUUUCAUCCAGAAAGCAGGCAUUGGUAGCAAGUGAUUUGUGUCUGUGAGUAUCGAUAAGGUCAUUACUCCUUGAUAAAGUUCAUCGACCUUCUUAGAUAGUGCAUCGACGAUCGGCUACAGUUCGCUGACCUUUUAGAACGGUUCAUGGACCUGGGUAGUGAAGAAGAAGAUGAAUUUGAAGUGCGUUUUGUUGCCGGUUCCGUUGUGCUGGAGUUCUGUUGCUGCUGAAUCCCAUCAUUAUUAAGAAUUAAGUCAGGAAUCAGGACCAGAAUUGACCGUAUUUUGGGCUUUUGGACUGCUGUUCAAAUUGAAUACGAGCUUUGUUCCGUCUAAGCGAUUAGACAGGUACUUGAUUUUUUUCCCCUCUUUUUUUAUAGUUGAGAGAAACAUUGUUUUUGGGAUUGUAUUUUAAUUUUUUUUUUUUCAUUGUUGUGUUUUGUUUCCCUACACAAUUGACCAAUAAGAAUGGCGAUGGCUACAACUACAGAACCGCAAGUUAUCACCGAAGCCACCUGGCUGGAAUGCUGAUGCUGAACAUGCACUUUGGAACUUGGCAACGACGGCACACCGGGCGGGCAGCUACGAACAUGCAAGGCAAGGCAAAUUGAUCGAAGAUGGCAACGUACGGAAUUUGAACGAUGGCACCAGCGGAGGAAAUGCAGGCAAUAUGAACUGUUGUUAGGUUUGAUUGAAAAAUAAAGUCCAGUUCGGUUUUAGCUAGCGAGUAGUUAAGAAGUUAUUUUUUAAAAACUUUAUCACAUCCGCAUAGACUUAACUCGCGUAAUGCCAGAGGCAGAACAAAGAAGGACAUCGUAAGACAAUCAGUGGGUAAAUUGUUAAACAUUGUUCAGAAACUGCCAGGCAACGGCAAGGUAACAGAUACGGAUAAGACUAGCACAAUAGAUAGACAAAUUGGUGAUACAAAAUUUGUUGAAGAGCUUCGAGGAACAUUCAAGAACCAGCAACAUAUUUUACAUGUGGCAGACCCCGGUAUGGGAGAAACUAGAUUACUGCAUUUUGUAGCGUUUGAAGUUCAAAAACAAAACCAAUCUGAUGUAUUUAAGAACGCUAUGUAAUGAACUAAACAACAUAGAAGAAGUAUCUGUAGUGGCAACCCUACUUGCGUGGGGUAAAAGGCGGUAAAACCAAAGUU